rnacentral:rRNA from 1 species
UACGGAGGAGGCAAGCGUUAUCCGGAAUUAUUGGGCGUAAAGCGUCCGUAGAUGGUUUUGUCAGUCUGCUGUCAAAGCACAGGGCUUAACCCUGUAAAGGCAGUGGAAACUACAAGACUAGAGUGCAGUAUGGGCAGAGGGAAUUCCCAGUGUAGCGGUGAAAUGCGUAGAGAUUGGGAAGAACAUCCGUGGCGAAAGCGCUCUGCUGGACUGCAACUGACAUUGAGGGACGAAAGCUAGGGGAGCGAAUGGG